rnacentral:lncRNA from 1 species
GGGCAAUGAUCAAGGGCUGGAAGCUAGGAGAUCAAAGCCUGGUUUCUUCUCUUAGUCCCACCUCAGCUCUGCCUAUGAAGCCAUCCCUCCAUCUGACCUCCAAAGAGCAGCCUUUGUUCAUUCCAUGCAGAUGUCCUGAAUGCACACCCUGUGCAAAGGGGCGUAAACUGAGCACUUGUGGUUUCAUCCAGUUCUGGAAGAAGUGGCUGUGCAAUGGAAGGAGCCACUGUGAAUCACCAGAGUGGGGGGAAAAAAUGCAGAUUGAAAUAAACAGAGAGGCAACUGGAAAUGACGAGCAUGAGCAGGCGAUGACUAAGGGACAGAUCAGUGCGUCAGACAAGGAGCUCUUAUGGAGGUGGCUUGGAGGUGGGCAGGAGACCGGAAGAAAGAGCUAUCAUUACACUUUCAUGAUUGUGUGCCCACGUCCACCCAUGCAAAAAAAGGAGGCACUGGCCUAGUUCUGGGGUGACUCACGAUGGCAAGCCAAAGCUCAUACAUCAAACACAGGCCCUUUCUCACUCUGGCCUUCUGCUGGGGAAUGCAGUUCGGUGCUUCGCCACCAAAGAGGUGCAGACUGGGCAUGCGCGGCCCCAGGCAGCCGAGAAGCUUGCAGCUCUGUCCUCUGCUGCGCCACUUGUUAUUUUUAUCUGAUGCGUUCUUAGGCCAAAUCAGAUCCAGAGAGCACAGCGAGGUUUCUAAAUUCAGAGCUCUGCUCUUCUGUCUCCCUUUCUCCCUCUCUACUGACAUCCUCUUUUAUCAAAUCGGCUGAAGACCACAGCAUCUCCAACAGAGGGACACGGCACCAUUUUUUUUUUUCAUAUUCUUCAGUGGUGGCCUUUUGUGAAGACAAUGAAAAAUAAUAAUAAUGUCACCAAGAGAAGAAGAAAAAGCACAGAUUCUGAAUUUUCUCUUGCAAUAUCCAGGUCAUGAUGGCCAGUAAGAAUAUCUAUUCUGUGUGCGGUGGUCUCAUGGAAAGACAUCUGAGUGUAUGUCAGGAGGGGACAGACAAAAAGGAGUCCCUGAAGAUACCUUCCUCCAGAACUGGGAUGAGGACGGUUGGGGCCACAGCUGUUUGAGUCAGGACAGCUGUGUACGUUUCAAACAAAUGAAGAGAGGGUCACCUGGAAGGAAUCUGGCUGUCACUGUCCCAUGUAAACCACACUGCAUGGGAUGAAAUUCAGUUGCCAUCACUCCAUGAGGAAGACUUGUGCUGGAGGCAGCCCAGGAGAAAUCCAUCUGUCCAGUAGUUCUCUAAACCUUCCACAUGCUCUAGAGGUGCCUGACAGCUUCUAGAAGCUGAUUCUAUAUACAUACAGUCAACCUUCUGCAUCUGUGGAAGAAGCCACACUCACAGAUUCACCCAUCUGCAGAAAAAAAAAUAGUCAAGAAAAACUCUGCAUCUAACUAAAUGCAUGAAGAUUGUCUUUCUAUCCUGGGGUGCAGAGGGUUGAACCUAGAUAUAUGUUCUACCACUGAGCUACACCCCCAACCUCUCUGAAUAUUCCUGUCAUUCCCUGAACGACACAGCAUAACAACUCAUUGCAUGUUUGUUGUGCAUUGGGUAAUCUAGAGUUGAUUUAGAGCACACAGAAGGAUGUGUACAAGUCAUGUGCAAAUACCAUCAUUUCAAAAGACUUGCACACCUACAAAUGUGGGUCCACAAAGGAGAUCAUGGAGCCAACCAUCAGCAGCUGUGCCUUCGUUAGUUUUGCUGGGCUUCCCUGUUCCCUAAUGUUCUGGGUGUGCCAUUAUAACAUAAUUUGUGCAGAACCAGAUAUGCAAGGCACCGGCCUGCUUGUCCUUUCAAACUCCACCCUCAAAUCCUCUCCUUCUAACUACGUUAUCGCCUCUGCUAAACAGUCUCUCAGCUGCUCGCUCCUUGCCCACACCCACCACAAAUAUUUCCACUAGAGAAGAAUUCUUUUCUACUUCUUACAGAACGUAUUGCCCGCCACUGGCAUGUUUUUAUAUACCUGCCUGGUUCCCUGACAGGACAGUGGAGACUCCCAUCUCCUGCUUCAGAUAGUUACUCUAGGAUGAGGCUAACUGAACCCAGUGCUCCACCUUUGGCUUCCCAAUCCUAGCCAUUCUGAGGUUGUGUUUAGUGACUCACUCCCUCACAGGUGACCUAUUCCCCUGUCUCCCCAGAGCUAAGUCUCCUCAGCCGGUGCACAUUCUUCACAUGCAGAUCAAUGUUGAUGUGUCCUUUUUGAAUCAUAAUUACAACAACAGCAAAGAAUCUGUUAUUAUCUCUUGAUUAGGAAAGGCCAAACAUACCUGGAUCUGUGUUUGGGCUUUUCCCCUCUUCUGAAACUAUUUGCAUAUGUAAGGGGUGGGGGUGGAGCAAGGGACAUCAAAGGACAUCUGCUUGUUUGAUCUAAUUAGUCUAUUUUUUUCUUCUCUACCAAAACACUAGAAAAGGGAAAUUCCAGACAGUUCUUGAAUCUCUGUGAAGUCAGUCAGUUUCUUGGACAAGAAGACAUGAAUUUUCUUUAACACACUGGCCACCUAACAAAAAAACAAGAGGACCCAGCCUUUGACUCCAUGGUCGUUGAUAAUUUGUUUAUUGGUGUUGGUCAUGCGGCCUCUAUUCUUAUUUACAAGCAAACAACAUUAUGACCACUAGGUUCCUAGGGAGACAAACCUAAGCAGGCUGUUACAAACUCCCUGGGUAUCUGGAAACAGUGGUGUCAGGGUGCAAAGGACAUCACAACUGAGAAAAAGGACACAGUCUGCAGUGGGGUUCCUGCAGGAGCAAUGAUGCCAAGUACGCUAGUGUCUGUGAAGACGAAACACCUUCAGCACUAGGAAUUACUCUGCACCUUCUUCCGCCAGUCAGCCUUUCACCAGUCCUGCACUGAGGACUGGGGACAGCUCUCAACUUCCUGUUCUCAGCCUUCCCUUCCCUGUGCCUCCCAAUCCAUGUUUACCAUCAGAGCAGAAAGAAUUUGGAGAAAGGAAUGCCUUGGUCUAAGGAGACGAUACUGAGCUGGAUGGCACUUUCUCAAAUGUUGGAAGUGCUUUUUGCUGAAGAGAUUCUGUCCAGGUCCUUGUGUAAAGUGACUCGACUCUACACGUGUAUACUCUGAGUCACCUCCAGGAGGCUAAGGCAGAAGGAUUGCCACAACUUAGAGGCCAGCUCAGAAAACACAGUAUGAUUCUGUCUAAAACAAUAAUAAAUUUUAAAAGGAAGAGACCAAGAUAAGCAGCCUCAAAGGAAGGACAACCAUAUGAAGACUCGGGCUGAAGGUAGCAUCUGCAAGAACAAUACAGAGACCUCCGGAGAAACCAGCCCCACUUUGAGCUUGGAUCCCAGCCUCCAGAACAACAAGGAAAUACAUUUCUAUUAUUAAAUCAAGUCCAUGGCCUUCUAUCAGAGGAUCCAUAUAUGCACUAGUAUCAGAUGUCCUGAUUCUAAGCUCCCUAUGGAUGGAAAACUUCACCAGGCUCUUGAGGAUGGCAUCACUAGAUAGUGAGGGCCUUGUGUGCCCUGGAACCACUCUCCAUGAUGGUCACAAACCUACUUCCAGUGGUGUAGAGUCCAUCUACAUAGUCUCCCCUUGCCCACACUCUUGACUUCCUACCUGCCCAACGUCUACCAGCUGAAGGGGGAGUACACAUUGGACUGGAAAUCAAAGAACAGUGGAGUCUUCUUCCAAUUUUACUUGGAUUCCAGGUAUCAAACUCAGGUUUCUAUUGCCGUGAUGAAACACCAUGACCAAAAAGGACAAAUGGAAAACGGAAAAUAGAAGCAAAGGGCCUGGGAGUGUGACUCAGACUGGCCUGACAUACACAAGGCUGAGUGAAAGGAGCAACGCAGAGAAAGAGACAAAUCCAGAGCGCCUGGUGGAAUGCCGGAAGAAGGGGGAGUAAGCUGUGAGAAGGGUCAAGUGCGGAGUAAUGGAAGCUGGAGUCUGGAAGAGGAGACUGGAGCAUGCGAAAGGCAGACGUGAGGAAUGCGGACAGAGACCAGCUCACUUGAGCGUUUCCUCUGCAGCAUGAGCUGGUCUGCAAGAGCUGCACCCAAGAAAGGGUGGAAGCCUCUGAGAGCCAGGAAGUGUUCUAGGUGCUGUAUUGCUUCAUCACUAAUAAUCUCAGCUACUUGGAAAGAGUCCAGAGGAUGGUGACAGGGAGAGUGGUGAUGGAUGGUGACCCCGCCUAUUUGCCAUCUCCCGGCUCCUUCCUCCUUCGCUGCUCUAACAGGGAUGGUGACCAAAGCUGGAACUUGUAGUGGUUGGAGGGGAGGGAGAGCAGCCUUUUUUCACACAUUCCUGCAAUCCCAUGUCGCCUUUCCUCCUCUGUUUGGCUGCCACACCCAGUUCCCAUCAAUUCAGGGAUGUGAUUAUCAGGAGAAAUGGCCAAAAGUGCCUCACCAACUAUUACAGAAAGAAUGACUCAGGACCUCCUGACGUUGUUGUUUGGAACCUUCCGUGGUGAUAGUUAACAGUAUCCCAGAUCCUGGACCAGAUAUUCUGCACAUUUUUCACAGCAUCAUGUAUGACAAGCAGUUCAGCUUGCAUGGGGAAUAGAUACUGCUACAAUGCAGCCUGUUUGACAAGUGAGAAAACAGCAUGGCGUUGUGCCUCUUCUUAUCCAUAUUUUGCCUUCCAAUAAGACACCUUACUAUAUUGAAAACCCCAGACCUCCUUCUGGAAAAGGCCUUAGACAUGGUGGAUUCUAGCCUCUCACAUGAAGCAGGUAUCAUUCUGUGGCUUGAACAGUCUUGGACUCAACAGGUAGCCUGCUCCAUUGUGCAUCGCUCUAACUGAAUCAAACCCUGAGGCUUGUUUCCCAGGCAGCCCAGAGAAAACAUAGCCAUGAAGGUGGAAAGGCUCCCAGUUCUCCCAGCAUAUGCAAGUCCUCACUGGGAUGAGCAAGAGAAGGACCAUUUCCUAACCUGACCAGGAAGAAAGACAACACCACGCUCCAGUGGGGUCCUGGAAAAGGUGGCUCUUAGGCUCUGACUCCGAGAAACCAUAGACGGUUUGUCAGCCUUAAAUCACCCAGAGGGAGGACACUGGCAUGUUGCGCCCUGGGGAUACCGUUAGGUCAAGUCCAAAACUGUUCAGCAAACAUUUGUUUAGAUCCAAAAAUGGAUAUCAAAAUGCCGAAGCCCAUCUCUGCAGGUGGUGACUCACAAAUCAGUUUGAAAGCACAAGGUACCCCUGGAAAUGGCUUCCUUGUCCAAUCUUAACGAGCCUAGCUGGCUACAUUUCUGGUUUCCCUUCAGGCUGGUGGACAGACCCACCAAGGCCUUAUCAGCUAGCUACAACACCUGGAGGGGGCUCAGUGGUCUUUUCCCACUCCCAUGCCCACCAUCUGGGCUGUGUCCCCUGAAGAGGGAUGGGACAUUUGCUCAGAGAGACAUGGGCAGCGCAUUUCUAUUGAAAAAGGCCUGUAAGGUAACCAGGGACAUUGCUGGCCAGGAGAUAGCUGCCUGGAAGUAACAACCAACCUCUUGAGAACCUGCUUAUCCAGGUGACAGCCACCAGCACUGUUGCUCUGCCCUCCUGGGCAUGUGUAUGGAGAGCAGGCAAGCAGAGACAGGAACUUUCCUGAGAACUCAGGAAACUAUAAAUAAAAAAGAAAAUAGGAACCAAACCUUUUCACACUAAAGGGAGUCCGCAUAUGGAAGAAGUUACUGGAACAAAAAGUCAGCAAGGGACAUAAAUGAGUUCACCAUACAUCUUGCUCAGUCGGCUAGAACAAGGCCCAGAGGGACGCAGAAUAAGAAAGGAGAGAAUAGGCCACGAUCUCCCUUUCUUUAUCAGUUAUACAUUCAUUGGUUCCACAAAAAUGUCAGAGAAACUAGGCACUUGAAAUGUGAGAUAGAAGGAUCAUGGGUUCAAGGCUAGCUUGGGCUACACAGUGGAAUCUUGUCUUUAAAAACAAUAAUACGAGGGCUGGAGAGAUGGCUCAGAGAGUAAGAGCCUCCUCGGCUGCUCUUCAAGGGGAGUCGGAGUCAAUUCCCAGAACACACAUGGAGGCUCACAUCAUAACCACCUCUAAUUCCAAUCCCAGGGAUACAUAUGAUGUCCUUGUGUGGCCUCCUUGAGCACUGCAUGGCUGUGUGCCACAGCCAUGCAUUUGGGUGAACACUCAUGCAUAUAAAAUAAAAAUAAAUACCCCCCCAAAGAUUUAGAAAUGUGAUUUAAAAGUAAAAACAAUGGUAUAAGGACUGAGAAUUUAGCUCAGUGGGUAAGAACACUUGUGCAACCGUGAGGACCUGAGUUUAGACCCCCCCUCCCACAGCACCCACGUAAAAAUCUGAGUGUGACUGUAUACUCUGUAACCCCAGCAGUGUGGGGAGAGCAGACAGGAGGGAUGCUGCCAUUUUAUGGCCACCAGCCUAGCUGGAUAAACAAAAGUUCAGUGAGAAGCUAUAUCUCCAGGGAUUAAGAUGGGGAGCAAUAGAUAAGGAUAUCCAAUGUUCUCUUGGCUCUGUACACACAGGUACACACACACACACACACACACACACACACACACACACACACACUGAUGACUACCUACUAGACAGCCAUUGUGCCAGAUUCCAAGGAACAAGGAUGAAAUAAAGCCUGGUCCCUGUUCUUAAAUUUCCCACUGAGUAGUGUUGUCAUUGCCUAGGGCUUUUUCAGUUUUAGGGUUCUAUUAUAAGUCUCUCAGGAGGCACUGGUGAGAUGGCUCAGAAGUUAAGGGCAUUGUCUGCCCUUGCAGCGGACCCAGAUGCAAUUCCCAGCAGCCACAUAGUGGCUUACAACGGGCUGUUAACUCCAGACCUAGAGGAUCUGACAUCCUCUUCCGGCCUCUGUGGGCAUGGCAUGGAUAUAAUGCAUACACAUACAUACAUGUAGGUGGAAUAGCCAUAUACAAAAAAGUGAGUCUUUUUUGUAAGCAAUAGCCUGGCUUUUAAAAGCAAGACACACCCACCUAUAGUUCAGGGCACUGUUUUUACAGGGUUCAAAAGUAUUUGAUCACUGGCUAAUUGGAAAUUUAAGCAAGAGGGCAAUAACCAUGAAGCCUAGCAUUUUGUGGGGGUAGCCUGUACUUUCCUGUAAUUUGGAGAAUGUUUAUGUAUGAAGGAAAAUAAGACAAUUGACUAUCCCAGACAUUUUUACUUUCAGCUUAUUAAAUAAAAAGAAAACAUUUUUUAAAAUUGUAUAUAGUCUGUGUGUGUGUGAGAGAGAGAGAGAGAGAGAGAGAGAGAGAGAGAGAGAGAGUGUGUCAUAGCCCUUGUGUGAAAAUCAGAGGCCAACAUUUAAAAAUCUAUUCUCUCCUUCUACUGUGUGUGGAAAUCAGGUAUGGAAAUCAGGCUUUCAGAAUUGGCAGCAAGUGCCUUUACCAGCUGAACCACCUUGCUGAACAACAAAAAAAAAGUCAACUAUUAAGAAAAAAACAAAACUAAAAACACUUCAAAUCACAAAAAAAGUUAUCAUCAUAGUUAAAUUUACUGUAUACAUUUAAAUUACAUUUUGAGCUACCAUUAUAAUAUUGCAUAUUUUUAAAAGAUUUUCCAUUAACUCAGGGUUUUGUUUUGUUUUAACACGCCAUGUAG